rnacentral:lncRNA from 1 species
CCGCCGGCCAAGGGGCCCAAGCCGGAGAAGCCCCCGACCAAGGGCCACGGCCACAAGCCGGAGAAGCCGCCCAAGGAGCACAAGCCGACUCCGCCCACCUACACCCCGAGCCCCAAGCCCACGCCGCCGCCGGCUACUCCCAAGCCGACGCCGCCCACCUACACGCCGAGCCCUAAGCCCAAGUCGCCGGUCUACCCUCCCCCGCCGAAAGCCAGUACUCCUCCGACCUACACCCCGAGCCCCAAGCCUCCGGCGACCAAGCCGCCUACCUACCCGACCCCCAAGCCACCAGCUACCAAGCCUCCGACACCUCCUGUGUACACUCCGAGCCCCAAACCACCGGUUACAAAGCCUCCUACACCCAAGCCGACCCCGCCGGUGUACACGCCGAACCCCAAGCCACCGGUUACCAAGCCUCCGACACACACGCCGAGCCCCAAGCCUCCGACAUCCAAGCCGACUCCGCCGGUGUACACAC